rnacentral:rRNA from 1 species
ACAUGCCUACAACAUAGCAUUAAUGCACUGGAUCCCAUUAGAACUUCACUGUUAAGUGCGCUCAGGAUAGAGUAGUACUGGGAUGGGUGACCACCUAAGAAGUCCUACUAUUUUACAUGCC